GCAAAAGUCGCUUUUUUUUCCCUUGAAAAACCAUGAAGUCAUCAGUUAUGUGGAUCACAAGCUUAGGUUCUUGGAAUGUAGUGAGAAUUAGGUUCAAGUACUAGUUCUGACUUUUGUCAUCUGUGUAAAACUGGGUAUAUAGUUUAAAUGAGAUAACCCUGGGAUUUGUUCCUGGUGAGUCUUCCAUAAAAGAUUGUUAUUGAAUAUUCAUACACAAUACAGGUACCAGAGAAUGUAAGAGUUAAGGUGAGGUUUGUUGUCAAGAGUUUUGACUUUUAGCUAGAGAGACAGAACAUAUAAUACUCCAGUAUUGGUAAGUGCUAAGCUUACUAAUAGACUUAGAAUGUAUACUGGGUGGUACUGUGAAACCAUAAAACAAGGAACAUUGAAUUUCGUCUGCAUACAGAGAAUAAUAUAGGAUUUGCCAUGGUGGAGGAAGCCCAAGAGAGAGUCUUCUGAGAAGGACAGGUAAAGCACUGUGCCCGGUGUUUCUGAAGCGUUGAUAUGAUCUCCAACAAUAUAAACAAAAAUAAAAUAAAAGUAACAAUCAAAUUGGAGUAACCCAUACAGAGUUGGCAGGAGACGGAGACAGUAAGAACUUCAGUGUUCCAAGUCAUAGCCUAGACCAAAUAAAAGCUUGGAGGUAAGAGAAAACCCAGCUAUCCAGGAAGCAUAAAAUGAAUGUGGAUGGUGGGUUCCAUAGCAGCAGUAGAACCUGGAUAUGUAAAUUGUGACCAGGUCAUGAAAUCUCCUAGAUACCAAGUUUGGAAUAAUGAAUUUUAAUAUAUAUUAUAAGUAAUUAGGUGAAGAUAUAAUGAUCUUAUAGGAAAGAAUAGAAUCUGGUCACAGAAUAGAAAAAUAAGUCAGAGGGGGCAAAAUUGGCAGUGGGCCAGAAGGGAAAUACCAAUGCCUGGGUCAAAGAUAGUGACUUCUGAAACUAUUUCAGGGGAUAGAAUAAAAAGAAAAUAUAUGAGCAUAGUAAAACUCUAAGAUGGCUCCUGAAGUAUUGGUUUUGUUGCCUGGGCCAAUGUAAUAUUACAAAGUAGUUAUGUGGGAACAUUAUGACUUGUAUAUACAAUUCUUUUUUAUUUCAAAAUUUCCUUUUAUUGAAAAUAGUUUUUUCCUACAAUAUAUCGUGAUUAUGGUUUCUUCUAGUACUACUCUUUACAGUUCCUCCUUACCCCUCCCUAUCUGGUUCCACCUCUUUUCUGUCCCUUAUAAAACAAACAGGUAUCUAAGGAAUAAUAAUGAAAUAAGAUAAAUCUAAAGCAAACCAAUUAUAGCAUGACAAAUCAACCAACC
rnacentral:lncRNA from 1 species